GUGAAAUAAAUCACAAAACAAACAUACACCCCUUUGUUUGAACGUGAACAUUUCUCCCAUCCCCUUUGUGAAAAGGACCGUCACUAUUAUACAGAAUAGUGACGGUCCUUUU
rnacentral:sRNA from 1 species